rnacentral:lncRNA from 1 species
UUAUAGCCAGUAUUGUCAUAUGGAAAUUCUGUUAUAGAAAUCAAGAGAGAAUAAAAAGACUAGAAGGUGGACAUAUAGGAGCUCCUCCAAAGGAUGAACAGGCGUUCGUGCCCUCGGUUUUGGAAACCAGAGACUCCAUCUAUUCAGCACCUAUGGGGAGUAGGACCCUGGAAGCCUCUGCUGCCGGAGGCACAGGCCACGGGCCGAUAAUGGGAAGCAAAGUCGAGAUGUAAAGGCUUAGCUGCGGAGUCCAGGGAGGGGGCGGCCCAGAGCAAUCCUGACUCGGACCUGAAUGUUGAGACCAAGGUGUGUACGUGUGCACGCAUGUGUGUGGGUGCUUUCAAAAUGUUUGUUUUUGUCAACAAUUUUUAUUAUUCAUAUGUUCCAUAGAAACAGGACCGUAGCGGGGGGGGUGGGUGGUCACGGUAGUAGGAAAAAAGAUUUUUAAUGCAGAUUCGCACGAGCUCUGUAUACAACUUGAGGCAGCCAACCCCUCCCUUCUCCCAGGCUCUCCAGUUUACCCAGCGCAGAGCUAGGCCUUUUCUUCGCUCCGCCCCUUGUCGGUAGGCCCCGCCCCGGAAACCCGGCCUCUAACCGGAGGAGCCCAGCCUAAUGACCCGGAAGGUGGGGAGACGCAGCCAAGGUCACGGUCCCGAGGUAAGUUUCUUCUUUCUACCGUGAACUUGUGCUGUGCGGUUCCCGCAGUCCUCAGGGUGUGGGAGUCACUAGGGACCUAACAUGCCAGCACCCGGCCCUCCGCCCCAGAAAAUCCGGACGUCGCCGUUUCGGUCACGGUUGACAUUGAAUGAUGUGGCCAUCCAAUUCUCUCCAGAAGAGUGGGAAUGCCUGGACCCUGCUCAGAGGGCCUUAUACGUGGAUGUGAUGUCAGAGACCUUCAGGAACCUGCUCUCUGUGGGUGAGGAUAACUUCCCUCUAAAAGUUGGGAAGGUGUCUGGAUUUACCCUUAUUUGCCUUUUGUAAUCCCCUGCCUUGCUUAACUGAGCUCAAAGCCGUGUUGACUCAGGCAUGAAAAGCUUCAUGAUGUAGCCUCAGGAAUUUAAACAUGCCCUUUUUUAGAUGGUCUGGCCUGGCCAUUUCAUAAUGCACCAGAAGUGUAGUGGAGAAUCCUAUUUAUUGUUCCUCAAAAAUUUAACAUAGUUGAGAAGUUUCAUAACUGUGUUUGAAGUAUUACUUUUAUUUAAUAUCUUAUAUUCAACCUGAAACUUAUAUUCAUGCAGUGUAAUGAAUAGGAUAUCUAUGACUCUUUAUAUCUUGUAGAUAUUUCUCAUAUACACAUCUGGAAAUUACAACUAAAAUCACACACUGAUAGAGGAGGAGUAUGCCAAACAGUGAUUUGGGGAAGAAAUGAAAUCCCGGAAAUCAAACAUUUUAAUC